rnacentral:rRNA from 1 species
UACGUAGGGACCGAGCGUUGUCCGGAAUCAUUGGGCGUAAAGAGCGUGUAGGCGGCCAUUUAAGUCUUGCGUGAAAUCUUGCGGCUCAACCCGCAAGCGGUCGUGGGAAACUGGGUGGCUAGAGUGCGGGAGAGGAGAGUGGAAUUCCGUGGUGUAGCGGUGGAAUGCGCAGAUAUCAGGAAGAACACCCGUGGCGAAGGCGGCUCUCUGGAACGCAACUGACGCUGAGACGCGAAAGCGUGGGGAGCAAACAGG